AUGGCAAUGGUGUUUCGACAAGUCUGGUGGCAGUGGAUGAGGCUACGGCCGACGCCGUGGCCAUCGUUUUGGAGGGAUCUUGCUGAUGGGAAUGAGGCUGGUGGCGAUCAGAUGCAUCGCUAUCUGGUACAGCAACUGGAAAGCGUGGAAAUUAUUAUCAAUUUCAGAACUAUGAAACUGCAGAUGCCUAGUACUGAAGCUUCAGAAACUUGUGAGUGUCAGCAUCUUAUAUCAACCAAGGUUUAUCAUGAAUUGCGGGAUUGCUUUGAGGUUGGUUCUGGUACAAGAUAUCCGAAAUCAGAUGAAGUUUGUGCUUCUGUUAUUAGCAUCUUCGAGUGGGGAUCUUUUCAGAAAUGGGUGUUGGGGCUCUAUUUCAAUAAGAUUGGUGAUGCUCAAUGCAAGUGUUUACUUUUUCCUCUCGUCUCUGCCAUAUGUAUAUGGGAGUUCGACAUGGGCAUGUACCAGAUGGGCAUGUUUUGGGAUCCCGGAGGACCGGCGGUGUUCCUGUUACUGGAAUUGACUCGACAAGCGCACCUGUGGGAAGAGUUCCUUGCUAUGGGCGCAACUAUGCCAUUUUCUGUUGUUGCUCUUAUGUGCAAGUCUCAACUACAACAGCCAACAAGAUGCUUGCCAGGCCGUUCUAUCCUGGUGAUUGGACUUUAUGUAACACACAACUUCUACAUGGCAUCAACUAGUGCACAAGUAGAUCCUCAAGAAGGGAGGGAUGUCAAAGACGGCACUGCCUUCCUCUACCAAGAUCCCCAUGGCAGCGACUACUACCUCAACCACGACCACUCCUUUGAGCUAGUUCAAAUCCACCUAAACUAUGGCUACGACCACGACAACUACCAUGGCGACCACAACAUGAUCAAGAACCUCCAAGCACCCUGGGAUCCUGGCGAGCUCCUCAUGACAGCGGCUUGGGGGCAAGCCGCAUUUCAAGAAAGGAGGGAUGUUAGGGACCCAUUGGGCUUGCCCGUGGGUGGUACGUGGGCCAAGCCCACCAGGGUGCCGACUACAAAUACAGGGAAGCAGGCCACGAGGAGGUAUCCGCGUAGGAUCAGGCAUGGCACGACGGCUCCUCCUCCCCUACCUUCUCCUACCUACUGUUCCUCCCUCUUCCUCCUCCAUCCUCCCUCAAUUCACUGUUAUCAGACAUUGGUUCCCCUGUAA
rnacentral:rRNA from 1 species